GUAGAAACCAAGGUGUGGCAACUUGUUGUGCAAAGGAUAAAGAAAAGAUAAAGAAUUGCAUGUUGAACACUGCUUCCAUAGACCAAUGUUGCCCAACAUUCAGUAUUAUGCUUGGCCGUAACUGCGACUGCUAUAAUUACGCCAAGGAUUUAGACAAUCAAGCUCUCAUCACACUUGAGAGUUACUGUGAUGUCACCAAUCCAUGCAGGAGUGCUCAAGUGAUGUAGAAUUCUGAUAUGGGGAUGGAAGUAAUCUUAAAAAAUGUUUAAUUUGUUCUAUUCUAUGAUGAACAAUUGUCCCUCUCUGUAGCAUAGUUUCGUCAUGUUUGUUUAGUGCUCCAUAUAUGAUGUUGAACAUAGUUGUUUCUUUAUAAGCGAAAAUGUGUUUUUCUGUUUGGCACUUGAGCAAUGAUGAGGUUAACAUGUGAUUGUUUUCCCAAGCCCAAA